UACGGAGGGUGCAAGCGUUAUCCGGAUUCACUGGGUUUAAAGGGUGCGUAGGUGGGCUAGUAAGUCCGUGGUGAAAUCUCCAAGCUUAACUUGGAAACUGCCGUUGAUACUAUCUGUCUUGAAUAUUGUGGAGGUGAGCGGAAUAUGUCAUGUAGCGGUGAAAUGCUUAGAUAUGACAUAGAACACCAAUUGCGAAGGCAGCUCGCUACUCAAUUAUUGACUCUGAGGCACGAAAGCGUGGGGAUCAAACAGG
rnacentral:rRNA from 1 species